GAUGAACGCUGGCGGCGUGCUUAAUACAUGCAAGUCGAACGAGGAUAGAGGAACUUGCUCUUCUAUUCUAGUGGCGGACGGGUGAGUAACACGUGAGUAACCUGCCUUUCAGAGGGGGAUAACGUCUGGAAACGGACGCUAAUACCGCAUAACAUAGAGGUGUCGCAUGGCGCUUUUAUCAAAGGAGCAAUCCGCUGAGAGAUGGACUCGCGCCCGAUUAGCUAGUUGGUGGGGUAAAGGCCUACCAAGGCGACGAUCGGUAGCCGGACUGAGAGGUUGAACGGCCACAUUGGGACUGAGACACGGCCCAGACUCCUACGGGAGGCAGCAGUGGGGAAUAUUGCGCAAUGGGGGAAACCCUGACGCAGCAACGCCGCGUGAUUGAAGAAGGCCUUCGGGUUGUAAAGAUCUUUAAUCAGGGACGAAGGAAGUGACGGUACCUGAAGAAUAAGCUCCGGCUAACUACGUGCCAGCCGCCGCUGUAACAC
rnacentral:rRNA from 1 species